rfam:Roseivivax halodurans JCM 10272 contig1, whole genome shotgun sequence.
AGGCGAGGACGACCUCGCCCGGCCACACGGUCACCACGCGGGACGGCCCGA